GACGGAGGGGGCAAGCGUUGUUCGGAAUUAUUGGGCGUAAAGCGCGUGUAGGCGGUUCGGUAAGUCCGCUGUGAAAGUCGGGGGCUCAACCCUCGGAUGCCGGUGGAUACUGUCGGACUAGAGUACGGAAGAGGCGAGUGGAAUUCCUGGUGUAGCGGUGAAAUGCGCAGAUAUCAGGAGGAACACCAAUUGCGGAAGGCAGCUCGCUGGGACGUUACUGACGCUGAGACGCGAAAGCGUGGGGAGCAAACAGG
rnacentral:rRNA from 1 species